AUACGUAGGGAGCAAGCGUUGUCCGGAAUUACUGGGCGUAAAGGGCGUGUAGGCGGCCGAUCAAGUCAGGUGUGAAAUUUCAGGGCUCAACCCUGAGCGUGCACUUGAAACUGGUUGGCUUGAGUGCAGAAGAGGAAAGUGGAAUUCCCAGUGUAGCGGUGAAAUGCGUAGAUAUUGGGAGGAACACCAGUGGCGAAGGCGACUUUCUGGUCUGUAACUGACGCUGAGGCGCGAAAGCUAGGGGAGCGAACAGGAUUAGAUACCCUGGUAGUCCUAGCCGUAAACGAUGGGUACUAGGUGUAGGGGGUUUAGACGCCCUCUGUGCCGCAGUUAACACAUUAAGUACCCCGCCUGGGGAGUACGGCCGCAAGGCUGAAACUCAAAUGAAUUGGCGGGG
rnacentral:rRNA from 1 species